GCGGUCCUGUGACUCUGUUUGAGGGUUCUGCUGGUUUUGGGGGUGGAGUGGGGAGCUGGGCAUCCUUCCAAAUUCAAUCAAGGCAAGUGCCCUGCAAGGGAAACGUAAGUCUCCCUUCCUCAGCCAUAAGUGGGUUGGAGAACUUCUACCCAGACUCGGGGUCCAAAAAACCAGAGACCCAAGCACAGUGGCCUUGGGGAUCAUUUUUUGAUGAAGGUUGGAGUCAAAGUAGCGGUGGGGAGAGGCAGGGUCUGGCUCCUAAUUCUGCCUUUCUUCAGGGUCCCUGGCUUUUUCAGCAGACCUUGGCUCUGGGGCCAAGGGGCCAACCCAGGGUCUGGCCUCUUAAUUCCUUAUCACUCCUUCCCUGCUAGAACGGGCUGGGCGUCCUGAAGGCUGGCCAAACCGGAGCUCAAGGUCCUGCCCAGGACUAGCCCCACUGUAGAGAGGACCCAUUUCCUGCCUUGGCUUUAUUUGCAGGCUACUAAAGCUGCUUUUACUUUGUAACUUUCUUUAAA
rnacentral:lncRNA from 1 species